rnacentral:misc_RNA from 1 species
AAAGUCGUAACAAGGUUUCCGUAGGUGAACCUGCGGAAGGAUCAUUACAGAAUAAAUUUGAUAGGUUGUUGCUGGCUCUACCUUGAGCAAGUGCACACUUGUCAUUUUUGUCUUUCCACCAUGUGCACUAUGCAUGGGAACAUUAAUUUGAACAAGGGUGACUUUGUUCUCUGGAAACUGCUGUUAUAACAAAUAACUGCUUUUUCUGAAGUUCCUAUGAUUUUAUUUAUACACCAUAAUAUGUUAUUGAACGCUCUGGUGGGCCCACAAAGCCCUAUAAACUAUAAUACAACUUUCAGCAACGGAUCUCUUGGCUCUC